CUUAAGAAACAGGGGUGCUGCCCGAAUAAGGCGGCUGAGAGUUACCCUUUUACCCGAACAAGAUAAUACUUGCGUGGGGAGUUUUCAGCGAAGCUGC
rnacentral:ncRNA from 2 species